rnacentral:rRNA from 1 species
AUUGAACGCUGGCGGCAUGCCUUACACAUGCAAGUCGAACGACAGCACGGGAGCAAUCCUGGUGGCGAGUGGCGAACGGGUGAGUAAUGCAUCGGAACGUGCCAUUGAGUGGGGGAUAACGUAGCGAAAGUUACGCUAAUACCGCAUAUUCUGUGCGCAGGAAAGCAGGGGAUCGCAAGACCUUGCGCUCUUUGAGCGGCCGAUGUCAGAUUAGCUAGUUGGUGGGGUAAAGGCUCACCAAGGCGACGAUCUGUAGCGGGUCUGAGAGGAUGAUCCGCCACACUGGGACUGAGACACGGCCCAGACUCCUACGGGAGGCAGCAGUGGGGAAUUUUGGACAAUGGGGGCAACCCUGAUCCAGCCAUGCCGCGUGAGUGAAGAAGGCCUUCGGGUUGUAAAGCUCUUUCGGCCGGGAAGAAAUCGCACAGGUUAAUACCCUGUGUGGAUGACGGUACCGGACUAAGAAGCACCGGCUAACUACGUG